GUAGGGAAUCUUCGGCAAUGGACGAAAGUCUGACCGAGCAACGCCGCGUGAGUGAAGAAGGUUUUCGGAUCGUAAAACUCUGUUGGUAGAGAAGAACGUUGGUGAGAGUGGAAAGCUCAUCAAGUGACGGUAACUACCCAGAAAGGGACGGCUAACUACGUGCCAGCAGCCGCGGUAAUACGUAGGUCCCGAGCGUUGUCCGGAUUUAUUGGGCGUAAAGCGAGCGCAGGUGGUUUAUUAAGUCUGGUGUAAAAGGCAGUGGCUCAACCAUUGUAUGCAUUGGAAACUGGUAGGCUUGAGUGCAGGAGAGGAGAGUGGAAUUCCAUGUGUAGCGGUGAAAUGCGUAGAUAUAUGGAGGAACACCGGUGGCGAAAGCGGCUCUCUGGCCUGUAACUGACACUGAGGCUCGAAAGCGUGGGGAGCAAACAGGAUUAGAAACCCCGGUAGUCC
rnacentral:rRNA from 1 species